AAAAUUUUCGAAAAAAAAAAAAAUCUAACCCCGUUGAUAAUGCAAGACCCUUCCGCGACGACUUUCGGCCUCCCUGAUUCACUUGUAGGCGGAGGAGCAUCAAAGUCGGAGGGAAGACCAGCGAAGAAAUCAUCGAAGUCCAGAAUAGGAACCUCGCUAGUACCGCUUCCGUCGCUGUAAGUAAGGUUUGGAUCCCAUCCCGGAAGCAUAGAAUCAUCCGUCGAAAACUCUAUGUCACCAAGAUCGAUAUCCUUCCCCUUCGAAGAGUUCCACCCCGUCGCAGCAGUGGGGGCAUCAUCAGGACUCUGAUCAUCGGGCUCGGAGUCGUUCCCUGUUUCCGCAGGACCGGGACACACAAACCUCAACGCCUUCCGAACUCGCUUCGGCGUAAAGGAAGUCCAGAAAAACAUACCAUCCUAAGAAGAUCCCUCACUUCAAUGAUAUCCUCGGGGAACGGAGCAAGCGGGUUGAUGAAGGGACGGUCAUUCGGCAACCUCCGGAACAGUGGGAUACAACUCUCUUCGACAGACGCAGCAUCUAUAUGAACAAAGAACAUAUAGGGAACUCAGUUCAUGUUUUCCGCCAAGCUCCGAAACAGUGGGCUAUGUAGCGACCGAGCUCUUCCGAAACGUCGAUACGACACUUGUCCAUGCAUUCACGUCUAUCCUUUGAUGCUAUCUCCCGAAGAUUGUAGGGAACUCAGUUCAUGUUUUCCGCCAAUCUAAAUCGUCGAUCAAACUUUGCGGUUAAAACCGCGGAAAGUUCGUUCUUUAUCGAAAGAAGUCUCAGUAAACGCUUCAAAUCGGAAGACGGCCCAAAGGGAACUAAGACACGACUCGAGGCCCAUCCUACGAUUUCUUAACCAAAAGCCCGUAAACCGUAGCACGGUUUACGCUUGGCACGCAAGGAAGGAUAAAUGUCAAGUUUCCGCGGAUAAAUACGAAAUUUUGAGGAUAAAUACGAAGAUCGGAAAAAAUGGAAUAUCUCCAUUUUAUGCUAUGACGGCUUAAGGGCAGAAGAGUAAAAGCGUAAACCAACCUUGGAGCGAGUAUAUAAGGAGUCCUAGGCGAGAGGCAUAAAAGGGAGAACUUUUCAGAGCAAACUUAGCACAUAGAGCAAUUUAGGCAUAUUUCCGUUUUUGUUAUUCGAGCUGCGACUCAAUUAGGUUAUUGCCGUCUUAGGGUUUUAGAACUUGGAAUCUCGCCAACAGCUCUCGUAGCCCAAGCACUUACCUUGUUGUAACGCUCAAACGCGAAUUCGGAAUAAGAUCUACUUUGCUCUCUUUUCGAUUUCAUAUAAUUUAUCGUCGUUAUUCUCAUGUUCUGAUUGCUUGACGUGUGGUAUUAGCAGAUAUCCUGGACCUCUGGGAAAUUAGGGUUUUCCUAGUUACAUAAUUUUAACGGAAAUCGAAAGUGCGAAUUUCAGUUCCCACACUCAUAACCGCAUCAGGUCUCCAAGGUGAACAGCCUCUGGUCGAUGUAACAAUGUAGGCAAGGGAAGUCGGCAAAAUGGAUCCGUAACUUCGGGAAAAGGAUUGGCUCUGAGGGCUGGGCUCGGGGGUCCCAGUUCCUAACCCGUCGAUUGUUGCGGGCUGCUUGAGCUGCUAACGUGGCGAGAGCGGACUGCCUCGUGUCGGCCAAGGGACGGACUGGGAACGACUCUUUCGGGAUCUUUCCUCGGGCGUCGAACAGCCAACUCAGAACUGGUACGGACAAGGGGAAUCCGACUGUUUAACUAAAACAAAGCAUUGCGAUGGUCCCUGCGGAUGCUAACACAAUGUGAUUUCUGCCGAGUGCUCUGAAUGUCAAUGUGAAGAAAUUCAACCAAGCGCGGGUAAACGGCGGGAGUAACUAUGACUCUCUUAAGGUAGCCAAAUGCCUCUUCAUCUAAUUAGUGACGCGCAUGAAUGGAUUAACGAGAUUCCCACUGUCCCUGUCUACUAUCCAGCGAAACCACAGCCAAGGGAACGGGCUUGGCAGAAUCAGCGGGGAAAGAACACCUUGUUGAGCUUGACUCUAGUCCGACUUUGUGAAAUGACUUGAGAGGUGUAGAAUAAGUGGGAGCUCCGGCCCAAGUGAAAUACAACUACUUUAAACGUUAUUUUACUUACUCCGUGAAUCGGAGGCGGGGUAAAAGCUCAACGAGAACAUAAAUCUCGUGUGGAACAAAAGGGUAAAAGCUCGUUUGAUUCUGAUAUUCAGUACGAAUACGAACCGUGAAAGCGUGGCCUAUCGAUCCUUUAGACCUUUGGAAUGUGCCAGCCAAGCGUUCAUAGCGACGUUGCUUUUUGAUCUUUCGAUGUCGGCUCUUCGUAUCAUUGUGAAGCAGAAUUCACCAAGUGUUGGAUUGUUCACCCACCAAUAGGGAACGUGAGCUGGGUUUAGACCAUCGUGAGACAUGUUAGUUUUACCCUACUGAUGCCCGCGUCGCAAUAGUUAUUCAACCUAGUACGAGAGGAACCGUUGAUUCGCACAAUUGGUCAUCGCGUUUGGUUGAAAAGCCAGUGGCACGAAGCUACCAUGCGCUGGAUUAUGACUGAACGCCUCUAAAUCAGAAUCUGGGCUAGAAGCGACGCAUGCGCCCGCCGCCCGAUUGCCAACCCUCAAUAGGAGCUUCGGCUCCCAAAGGCACAUGUCGUUGGCUAAGUCCGUUUGGCAGAAGCGCCGUUCGGACCGCCUUGAAUUAUAAUUACCACCGAGCGGCAGGUAGAAUCCUUUGCAGAUGACUUAAAUACGCGACGGGGUAUUGUAAGUGGCAGAGUGGCCUUGCUGCCACGAUCCACUGAGAUUCUGCCCUUUGUCACUAAGAUUUGACCCUCCCCC
rnacentral:rRNA from 1 species